GGCACCACCGCGUGGGUCCCCCUUUGGCUCCCUUUGAGGGGGGCUUACGUUUUCACACAAACUUUGUAUGCAGUGUAGAAUGUAUUUUUUGUUUUUGCGAUCACGCAAUCAAUACAACUUUCAACAACGGAUCUCUUGGCUCUCGCAUCGAUGAAGAACGCAGCGAAAUGCGAUACGUAAUGUGAAUUGCAGAAUUCAGUGAAUCAUCGAAUCUUUGAACGCACCUUGCGCCCCUUGGCAUUCCGAGGGGCACACCCGUUUGAGUGUCGUGAAAUUCUCAAAAACCUUUUUCUUUUUGGGAAAGGGUUUUUGGACUUGGAGGCUUUUUGCUGGCUUCACCUUGAAGUGAGCUCCUCCUAAAUGAAUCAGUGGGGUCCGCUUUGCCGAUCCUUGACGUGAUAAGAUGUUUCUGCGUCUUUGGGUUUGGCACUGUCACCUGCUUCUAACUGUCUCAUUGACAAUGAUGGUGCUCCGGUCACCACCGCUCUUAUCGGUGGGAGGCUUGACCCACAAAAACAAAACCUUGACCUCAAAUCGGGUGAGACUACCCGCUGAACUUAAGCAUAUCAA
rnacentral:misc_RNA from 1 species